rnacentral:lncRNA from 1 species
GUGGAGUGGGGCAGCAGCUGGGACAAGAGGAUGUCAUGGGAGGGGUGGGUGUCAUGGGGGAGGGUGAUGAGGGAUAAAGCCAAGGAGAAACAAUGGCCGCGCUCCGCCUGGGGCAUCAUCAACCUCGGACUCGUCAAGCAGAUCCACGACCACAACUAGCUGCCGUCUCGCUCGAUCAGUUGUGGUGCUUACUUAGCGCGAGUUUGUCUUCAUUAAAUAGCUGUGUGAUGGUGUGGUACCUGAGUAUGUGACCUAUAUAUGUUUGUCAUUGUGUGGUCAUUAGCGUGAUGUUAUGGUAUCUGAGUGUAUGUGACCUAUGUUGUCUCGUAUGGUUGAAUAGCUACUAAUAAUGCAAUGAAUGUUGAGCCACCAUGAGUGUCAAAAAAGAGUUGCGCUUGAUUUUUUUUAUUAAUCCUUAAUCACAACCAAGUC